rnacentral:lncRNA from 1 species
UCCAGUAGCACCAGUAGCCAAGGUAUCAUCAUAUGAACUAACAAUAUCUGCACAAGCAUAGUCAAAGGGCAAGAGGUCUUCCCAAAACAUUACACCAAUAUGCUCAAGAGGAGGUAGCUUUAGAUGUCACAUGGACAUGUGAUUGUUUCAGUUUUUAUAGUUGGUUUAUCUUUCAAACUCUUUGCUGGAUUCAAAAUGACAAGAUAAUCUUACUUCUAGGAUUCAGAUGUAUAGGCUAUGUUUAAUUAGCUCUCUUUCACAACAACAGUGAAUGUAUGCCAUUAUGUUAGGAAGUGGGGAAAGAAUCCAGUGGGGGACAGUUUAAUAUCAAGAUCUCCCAAUAAGCAAUCAUGAAGAAAAAGCCUUGGACAUAAGUGUUAACUUGUGUAUUAACCUUACUCAGAUAGUAGUGUCCAACAUCAACAGGGUGACUACAGCAAAUCAGAGAGAGCGAGAGAGCAAUAAUUUUCUUAACCUUGUCAGAAAAUAGUCCAUCUUUGUCAACAGGGAGGCAAUCUCUGUAGCAUCGAAUACUUUGUUGCCAGGACCGAAAUGAAUAAUACAUGAAACACAGUGUCAGCAGAGACCAGGCAAAGCAGCAGAAGACAUUUGAAAAAUGUCAUAAAAAUCCACCCAGACACAAUUUUUUGAGAAAAAGAAAAUAUAUGGUAAGAGCUAUUCAGCAGUGGAAUAUGUUGCUUUGAAGACUGAAGUCUCUUUCUCUGGAAGCUUGUAACCAAUGGCUGAUAGCCAUCUCUUGGGAGUGUUUUGAUUGUAUUUUCCUACACAACAGGGAGUUGGACAGGGUGGGCUUUGUGGUCUCUUCCAACUCUAUGAUUCUAUUAUUCUUUGGUAAUGUUGUUCAAUCAGAUGAUAUAUUGGUGCUCUAUGAGAUAGAAUUUGACAUAUACAGUAUGUAUUGUUUGUUUCCCAUUUUUUAAGGUUGUGCACUUUUCAUAUUUGAAUCAUUGAGAUACUUUGCAUGCAAAGCACAGGGGGACCAAAUGGCUGACAAAAAGAGAAAAGAAAUAUUCUAACAACCAACCUGAAAAGCUCAGCUUCCAGCAAUUUCCUUGUAGCAAUUGGGAUUUUGCUAGAGAGAGCCAUCUCAAGAUUGCCAUUUAAACCUGCUGAUUAAAACACAAUAUAUAACAUGGACCGAUGACUGGUUUUAUUCUCUACUUUAUUGUUUCUAAUCCACAUUAUGACUUGACAAAGGGAUCCCCUAACCUUUGAUGGUAACAUUAGCCUGAGCUUCUUUAGACAAAGAUGAAUGUGAUGAAAUUUUGGCAGCCACUCUCAAAUUUGGAAAAAAAAUAAUAGAUUUAAGUCAUGCAUUCCUAUUGAGAAAGCCUUCUACUUUGCAUUAAAUUAUCCCUAAGUUAUUCCCCAUCU